UAGGGAAUCUUCGGCAAUGGACGAAAGUCUGACCGAGCAACGCCGCGUGAGUGAAGAAGGUUUUCGGAUCGUAAAACUCUGUUGUUAGAGAAGAACAAGGACGUUAGUAACUGAACGUCCCCUGACGGUAUCUAACCAGAAAGCCACGGCUAACUACGUGCCAGCAGCCGCGGUAAUACGUAGGUGGCAAGCGUUGUUCGGUUUUAUUGGGCGUAAAGCGAGCGCAGGCGGUUUCUUAAGUCUGAUGUGAAAGCCCCCGGCUCAACCGGGGAGGGUCAUUGGAAACUGGGAGACUUGAGUGCAGAAGAGGAGAGUGGAAUUGCAUGUGUAGCGGUGAAAUGCGUAAAUAUAUGGAGGAACACCAGUGGCGAAGGCGGCUCUCUGGUAUGUAACUGACGCUGAGGCUCGAAAGCGUGGGGAGCAAACAG
rnacentral:rRNA from 1 species